rnacentral:rRNA from 1 species
AGUGAACGCUGGCGGUAGGCCUAACACAUGCAAGUCGAACGGCAGCACAGUAAGAGCUUGCUCUUACGGGUGGCGAGUGGCGGACGGGUGAGGAAUACAUCGGAAUCUACUUUUUCGUGGGGGAUAACGUAGGGAAACUUACGCUAAUACCGCAUACGACCUACGGGUGAAAGCAGGGGAUCUUCGGACCUUGCGCGAUUGAAUGAGCCGAUGUCGGAUUAGCUAGUUGGCGGGGUAAAGGCCCACCAAGGCGACGAUCCGUAGCUGGUCUGAGAGGAUGAUCAGCCACACUGGAACUGAGACACGGUCCAGACCCCUACGGGAGGCAGCAGGGGGGAAUAUUGGACAAUGGGCGCAAGCCUGAUCCAGCCAUACCGCGUGGGUGAAGAAGGCCUUCGGGUUGUAAAGCCCUUUUGUUGGGAAAGAAAAGCAGCAGGUUAAUACCCCGCUGUUCUGACGGUACCCAAAGAAUAAGCACCGGCUAACUUCGUG